GACGAACGCUGGCGGCGUGCUUAACACAUGCAAGUCGAACGAAGAGCGAUGGAAUCUUGCUUCUAUCAAUCUUAGUGGCGAACGGGUGAGUAACGCGUAAUCAACCUGCCCUUUAGGGGGGGACAACAGUUGGAAAGGACUACUAAUACCGCAUACGACCUAAUCACGGCAUGGAGGAUAGAUUAAAGGUGGCCGCUAAAUGUAAGCUAGCAUUGAAGGAGGUGAGUGGGUCUGAUUAGCUCGAUGGAGGGGUAACGGACCACCCUGGCGAUGGUCAGUGGCCGGUCUGCGAGGAUGAGCGGCCACAUUGGGACGGAGACACGGCCCAGAGGCCUACGGGAGGCGGCAAUAGGGAAUCUUGCGCCAGGGGUGAAAGACUUACCGAGAUAGGCCGCGGGAGGAAUGAGCGCCCUCGGGUUGUAAAGCUCGGUUAAUCGGGACGAAAGGGCUUCUUGCGAAUAGGGAGAAGGAUUGACGGUACCGGAAAAGAAAGCCACGGCUAACUACGUG
rnacentral:rRNA from 1 species